rnacentral:lncRNA from 1 species
GGAACACCUUCUCAGAUGAUACAAAUUGACCUAGCUCAAGUUUGCACUGUAACAGCAAAAAGGAGUGAGGGGGAGGGAGAGGGAAGAAAAAGAAGCUGAUAGGGCUAGCAGGAAUGUCAGAUGAAAGGCAGAGACUGCUGUUGGUUUUGGUUUUCAUGGCAAAAAUUCAUCUGCCAUCAAACUCUGGCAUUGGAAUCUGUUGUGAAAACAUCAGCCUUGUCUGCAUUACAAGUUUGAAUUAACAAGCUUAAGUUUCGAGGCAAUACUUCUUAUUGUCACUAAAGCAAUUGCAAGCUACAUAAUUGUGAUUGAUAUCUCUGAUUUCACUCUUGACAAAGCAAAUCUAAAGGUACAGAAGAAGAUACAGAAAAUCACAGAUGCACAAAAUUGCAGGGAUUGGAAGAGACCUCAAGAGAUCAUCAAGUCCAACCCCCCUGCUGUAGCAGGUACCCUACAAUAGGUCACAAUGGUAAGUGUCCAGACAGAUCUUGAAUAACUCCAUAGAAGACAUUACAACCUCUCUGGGCAACCUAUUCCAAUCCUCUGUCAUCUUUACUAUAAAGAAAAAUCCAUCAGAAAGUGCGUAAAUGCUGAUUAGCAUGAUUAUUUCAAGUCAGGUUCAGAAGUAGAUUAUUUUAAUUGUAU